UACGUAGGGGGGCAAGCGUUUGUCCGGAAUCAUUGGGCGUAAAGCGCGUGUAGGCGGCUCGAUAAGUCUGCUGUGAAAGUCCAAGGCUCAACCUUGGGAUGCCGGUGGAUACUGUCGAGCUCGAGUCCGGAAGAGGAGUGUGGAAUUCCUGGUGUAGCGGUGAAAUGCGCAGAUAUCAGGAGGAACACCAAUGGCGAAGGCAGCACUCUGGGGACGUGACUGACGCUGAGACGCGAAAAGCGUGGGGAGCAAACAGG
rnacentral:rRNA from 1 species